ACGACUGAUUGUAAUAAAGGUGUUUCAAUCAAAAUCUGUUCUUAUCAGUUUAAUAUCUGAUACGUCCCCUAUCUGGGGACCAUAUAUUAAAUGGAUUUUUCGAACAGGGAGAUGGAAAAAGAGCUUGCUCUGUCCACUCCACGCAUUGACCUGGUAUUGCAGUACCUCCAGGACCGGUGCACCCUUU